AAGCUCGUAGUUGAAUUUCGGGGUUAGUAGGUUGGUCAUGCCUCCGGUAUGUACUGAUCUCACUGAUUCCUCCUUCCUUAUGAACCGUAAUGCCAUUAAUUUGGUGUUGCGGGGAAUUUGGACUGUUACUUUGAAAAAAUUAGAGUGUUUAAAGCAGGCUAACGCUUGAAUACAUUGGCAUGGAAUAAUGAAAUAGGACGUUCGAUCUUAUUUUGUUGGUUUCUAGGAUUGACGUAAUGAUUAAUAGGGAUAGUUGGGGGCAUUAGUAUUCAAUUGUCAGAGGUGAAAUUCUUGGAUUUAUUGAAGACUAACUACUGCGAAAGCAUUUGCCAAGGAUGUUUUCAUUAAUCAAGAACGAAAGUUAGGGGAUCGAAGACGAUCAGAUACCGUCGUAGUCUUAACCAUAAACUAUGCCGACUAGGGAUCGGAUGAUGUUAAUUUUUUAAUGACUCAUUCGGCGCCUUACGGGAAACCAAAGUGUUUGGGUUCCGGGGGGAGUAUGGUCGCAAGGCUGAAACUUAAAGGAAUUGACGGAAGGGCACCACCAGGGGUGGAGCCUGCGGCUUAAUUUGACUCAACACGGGGAAACUCACCAGGUCCAGGCAUAGUAAGGAUUGACAGAUUGAGAGCUCUUUCUUGAUUCUAUGGGUG
rnacentral:rRNA from 1 species